rnacentral:tRNA from 1 species
CCCUAGUAGCUUAGCAUUUUAAAGCACCGGUCUUGUAAUCCGGAAAUCGAAGGUUAAAAUCCUUCCUAGUGCCAGAAAAGAGAGAUUUCAACUCCCACCCC